rnacentral:rRNA from 1 species
AUUGAACGCUGGCGGCAGGCCUAACACAUGCAAGUCGAGCGGAGCGGCAGACGGGUGAGUAAUGCCUAGGAAUCUGCCUGGUAGCGGGGGAUAGCGUCCGGAAACGGGCGCUAAUACCGCAUACUAUCAGAUGAGGCUAGGUCGGAUUAGCUAGUUGGUGGGGUAAAGGCCUACCAAGGCGACGAUCGGUAACUGGUCUGAGAGUAUGAUCAGUCACCCUGGGACGGAGACACGGUCCAGACUCCUACGUGAGGCAGCAGUGGGGAAUAUUGGACAAUGGGCGAAACCCUGAUUCAGCCAUGCCGCGUGUGUGAAGAAGGUCUUAGGAUUGUAAAGCACUUUAAGUUGGGAGGCGUUACCAACAGAAGAAGCACCGGCUAGCGUCGUGCCAGCAGCCGCGGUAAUUC